rnacentral:misc_RNA from 1 species
AUCCCAUCGCUGGAUUUUUUUUCCCUGCUGUCGCCUCCCAGCUUAUCUCUUCCAAUUUUUUUUUGUUUGUUUGUUUCAGCCACCGCUCGGCGCUUGAUAAAAAUCCUGCUCGCUCUCUCCACUCUAUCUCUCUCGCGUCGCUCGUCUUCAUCUCCCUGUGGCCGGCGCUCGUUCUCCAACCAUCCAUGACCGCCGGUCGCUCCUUUCUGUCCCGCCCGAUGCUCUGCACUGCCCCAUCGCUUGGCCUCCAGCUCGUCGUUCUCCCUGCUUCAAGCUUUUUUUUUCCCCAGCCACGGAGCUCGCCGUACCUCCUCUCUCUUCCUCACUGUUCACGCGCGUCCCCAGCUCCUUUGCCACGCCCGGCCUGCUCUUCUUCAUGGCCGCGCGCCCAGAUUCUCUGCUCGACCGCGCCCCCUGCUGCGCGCGCUCGUGCGCUCUGCGCUUCGCUCGCCAUCGCAGGCAGCGGCGCCCUGCUUCUCCCCAACCACGGCGUCCUCUGCUCCCUCUGCCGACCGGAACGCCCUGCUCGGAUUCCGCUCGCGGAGCUCUCUUUCCCCAGCGCCGUUUGCCGUCCUGGUGCAAGCUCCAGCUGCUGCGCCCGACUGGCUUCCUGCAUCGCGCCCAGCCGCGUUCUUCACAGCCGGCUGCUGCUCCCUGGCGCAGCUCGUUCAGUCCAGCCGCACUUGCUUUCCCAUGGCCGCGCGCGAAGUUUUCGGCUCGUCGCGCCCUGGAUUCCCUGGCCUUCGCGCCCUGGCUCUCUGCCCAGAGUUCCCUGUUCUGCUCGGCGCUCUCCCUGCUCGCUCUGGACGCGCAGCUCUCUUCGUCGCGCCCAGGCCGUAUCCCGCUCCAGCUUACCGAAGUCCCUCCCACGGCCGUCUCCCUCAAGCCGCCGUGAGCUCCAUGCUCUGAAAUUCGUGCAUCGCCUCCUUCCCAUUUGUCAUGCCUUGCGACGCUCGUCAUGGACCUCGUCGUCGACCCACGUUGUGCCCACGACGUGCUCGUUGACUCCGAUGAUUUGAUUUCCAAUUUCAUGCUGCUUAUGUCGACCCUCAGAACUCCUUGUCGUGCUCAACCCUGCAAGUCUCCAACUCGUCGACAUCCCUUGCGUCGUCGAACGAUCCCGAGAAAUCGGAUAAAGCAAUAAAUCCCGUGUGGUGCUUGCCGGGUGCUCGGAAAAAGUUCUAUGCAAGAAUCGUUGCUGUCUGCGCGAAGUUAUGGUCAAUAUGGUACGUUGAUUAACCACGAGAUGCAGAAGACAAGCCAAGUCGACCCCAAGCACGGGCUAAUCCACAGGAUGAUACUGAUGAAUGGAACUGAAGAUGGGCAGACGAAACGAGUAUCGGAAUAAAGACUGAUCGCCAAGUGGUCGUCUAACAACACUAACCUAGUGUUACCCAGGGUUUUAUUCCCUGUUGUUUUUCAGGUUCUAACUUUGUGCUGCUUUUGAUGGUGUUAAGUGCCGAUGGGCUCGGCCUUCUUAUAUAAGUAUAACCCGUCUUUAUCUUCUUUCUGAGGAUGGUCAUUUGAGCUAGCAUAUAUUUCAAACUUAUACUUUUGUAAUCACUCCGAUAAAAUAAUAUAAAAUUUUUGUAACUUGUAAAAUUUGGUAAUAAGAUUUCCGCUGCAAAAAUAUUGGUGUGUGUGAUUUGUGUUACUUAAUCCCGCGGUUCUGGUUGAAGUGGUUUAUCCGAUGUCCUUGGGGCAAUCGGACAGAUCCUGUUGAGUUAUCUAGUGCACAUGCAUGGUCGUUUGAGGUCUUUGGGACAAAGACAGGUGCAUGUGGGCCCGAUAACUUGGAGGUUCUGCCACAGAAAGCAAGUUGUAAUCUAAUGAAUCAACAAGAAAAACAUUGGAAAUGGAAUGGUCAGGUGAAAUAGCAAUUUUACCC